GGGCGAGGGUCCGCCCCCAGCCUCCCGGGCCUCCUUCCUGUAGGGAAGUGCGGCUGCUUUCACGUCCCCCACCCGCUCGGCUCGGUCCCGCGGCCGCCGCGCAGCCGAACGCCACCUGGCUAGGGCACAGCGGUCCCAGACUUCAGGCUCGCGAGUGCGCACGCAGGCCUCUCCUCGGACCAUGCCCCGCAAAACCUGCCGCCCAGGUGCCCCCUCGCCCGGGGCCAGCGCUCACCUCGCCACCAGUACGUCUUGGACAGGUCAUGCCAGGUCUGAUGCCGAGUGUGGUGAGUGCCUCCAGGGCCCAGGUGUGCCGCCUCUAUGAGGCCCUGGCGCCGCUCCGGCUGCAGCACUACUUCCAACUCCGCAAACGUCUUGCGGUGCCGCUGCCGCCGCUGGUAGUAGAGAGUCCCGCCGCGCACUACGUAGCAGGCGGCAGCCUUGCGGAUUUUACGCUUGACAUUGCCUUCAGUGCCCGGUGCAUAAGGCUCACGUUCGUUCGUCAAAUAGCGCAGGAUGGCCCGAUAGCUUUCCUCGCUUGACAUCGCUGGUGGCAGCGCCCUUAGGGCGCCUGUCAGUGGUAGGAAAAGGCAGACAGCGCUCUGGAUCAGUAAAGGUGCAACAGUGGCGGCAACACUUUAAGGAGAAAAGGCUACGCCUUUGGUGGGCGCUCUUCGAGGGCGCCCGCAGCGCGAAGGAAGAACCGACGACCUGGUAACCAGGGGGAACUGCACUUCUGCAGCGCGCGGGAUCCGCUGGCGACUGACAAAAUGGCUGCUGCACCACCGGAAGUGACGCGCGUGCAGGGCGGAGCUAGGGCCCUGAUUGGAGCACUCUCAAUUUCUGGCUUAGAAGGGGCCGGCGGUGUGACGUCAAUACUGCGGGAGGACAUUUUGGAAGAGGGUACGCUCUCUCUGGCGGAUACAGGGGGUCUUCGGCAGACAUCUUAAGUCCUGGCAGUUUCCUCCCCCACCCCCCUUUCUUUUCCCACGCUCUCUGAAAAGCCACGUGUUUGAGCUGUUCGGUGUUUGUUUCCCUGAGACCCUCCCGGUAAACGGUAAUUGAGUCGGUUUUUCAGUCAGCUUUGAGACUCGAUAUACUAGAUACCGCCGAUUUAGAAACUGUAGCACUUGUUCGCCACUGUCUGAAAUUCUGGGCCAAAGACUGCCAAGCAUUUAGUACUUCAGUGUUAAAAAUUAUCCUCUUAAGAAUUAUCUCCAGGGGGUGGGGUGAGAAAAAAAGAAUUAUCUCCAAACUACCUAGGUGAUUUUCUAGAAUCAUCACCAUAGUGACGACUAUGCAGGUCCAGAUUAUUUAGAUGAUUAAAUUACAUGAAGAGGUAACCCAGAUUUACCCUUACUGGUCUCAGUCAGCCGUUUCCUUGUAAUGUCUGGACACUUGGCGCUCAUUUGUUGAAGCUAGAAGGUUCCAGGCUUCCCAGCCCAAUGACUCUAGCUGAAGAAACUUUUUUUUUCCUGCCUGAAGGUUACAUACAUAUCUUUGAGGCUUUAAACGUUUAUGGGACCACAGGUGAGGAGCAAGCAGGUGGUAGUGGGCUCAGAAACCAGACAGUGAUUAUGUUUCCAUCAUAUGUUAUGGAAACUGAGUGAAAAUGGAGAGCAUCCUUCUCCCAAGAGGUUCAGAUACAGGUUUGUACUGGGUGUGGCUUCAUGACCUUUAUACUAUUUUCAAAAGAAAAUGCUAAAGAUAUUUUUGAAUAAAGUCUUGAGAAUACACAUAAAA
rnacentral:lncRNA from 1 species